UACGAAGGGUGCUAGCGUUGUUCGGAAUCACUGGGCGUAAAGCGUGCGUAGGCGGCUAUGCAAGUCAGAGGUGAAAGCCCAGGGCUUAACCCUGGAAUUGCCUUUGAAACUGCAUAGCUGGAGUACUGGAGGGGAUAGCGGAAUUCCUAAUGUAGCGGUGAAAUGCGUAGAUAUACGGAGGAACACCAGCGGCGAAGGCGGGUAGCUGGGCCAACACUGACGCUGAUGUGCGAAAGCUAGGGUAGCAAACGGG
rnacentral:rRNA from 1 species